CGCCCCUCAGGUGAGCCCAGGCGGUAUAAAGCCCCGGGGCCGGCUGGGAGCACUGGCGGGGCGAACAUGGGCAACAGGGUCACCCGCGGGGACUUCGAGUGGGUUUACACGGAGCAGCCCCACACGCAGCGGCGGCGGGAGAUCCUAGCAAAUAUCCAACAAUUAAAUCUCUAAUGGGACCAGAUCCCACUUAAAAUGGAUUGUGGUCGGAAAUGGUGUUGACACAGCUUCUAGUUUUGCUACUUGGUGAAAGAUUUAUCUUGGAAAAUGGAUUUUCUUUUGGGCUUAUGCUUUUGGGGGCUGCAUCAAUCACUCAAUGGCGCUAGCAUCCAUGAUAUUUCACACAUGUUGCCUUGGGUAACAAGCAGCUAAGUGGAAUAGAUGGUUUGCAGUGUUUGCCAACCUGCCAAUUGGACUUCCUUACUCCGCCUCCUUCAAGAAAUACCACAUUGACCAUCAUCGAUACCUUGGUGGAGACACUUUGGAUGUGGAUGUUCCACUGACUUCGAAGGCUGGUUCUUUUGCACUCCGUUCGGAAAUUUAUUUUGCUCAUCCUCCAACCAUUCUUCUAUGGCCUGAGACCUCUUUAUGUGGAACCCCAAAACAGUUACUCAGAUGGAAAUAUUUAAUGCCCUGGUACAAUUCUCUGUUGAUUUUAUAAUCUACUACCUAUGGGGCCUGAAGCCUAUUGUUAUUUAUAUCAGGCACGUUACUUUGCAUGGGUUUGCAUCCUAUUGCCGGUCACUUCAUAGCAGAACAUUACAUGUUCUUAAAGGCUAUGAACCUAUUCUUAUUAUGGACCUCUCAACUGGAUCACCUUUAAUGCAGGCUACCACAUGGAGCACCAUGAUUUCCCGAGCAUUCCUGGAUGCAAGCUGCCAAUGGUGAAGAAGAUAGCAGCAGAAUAUUAUGACAACCUUCCUCAGCACCAAUCUUGGGUUCGAGUUCUUUGGGAUUUUGUUUUUGAUGACACCAUUGGUCCUUACUCACGGAUUAAGAGAAUAUGCAAACUAGCAACAGAAAACCAAUAGAUUUGCUUUAGUGUCUUCAUUAAUAUUGUUUAAAAAAAUCCAAAAUUUGAGAACUUGAGUUUUCAGAGCUAAAAAUGAUCUGAAGAAAUAUUUCUAUGCACUUACCUUUUCUGUAGUACUAAAGGUGAUGAAAUAUUGAAGCAAACCACAGGUACUGUCUUUUAGAAUACUGUAACUUUUAUUAAAAGGAUUUUUGCUUAUGUAACAUUGCUCUUUGGCAGGAUAUCACACAUGUAUGUUUAUAGCAGAGGCUACAUAGAUUCACUAUCCUUUGUAUCUUAGUGAAACUUUUACAUUUUAAAUCCAUAUUAAACAUUUUUCCCCCCCUUUUCAUCAG